GUCCCUAUCGAUUAGUGGUUAAAUCAUCACGUUGUGGCCUGUUUCAUUGCAGCAAUCCGUGAAGCCGCCGGCUCGACUCCGGCUAGGGACA